rnacentral:rRNA from 1 species
GAUGAACGCUGGCGGCGUGCCUAAUACAUGCAAGUCGAGCGAACAGACGAGGAGCUUGCUCCUCUGAUGUUAGCGGCGGACGGGUGAGUAACACGUGGAUAACCUACCUAUAAGACUGGGAUAACUUCGGGAAACCGGAGCUAAUACCGGAUAACAUGUUGAACCGCAUGAUUCAACAGUGAAAGACGGUCUUGCUGUCACUUAUAGAUGGAUCCGCGCCGCAUUAGCUAGUUGGUAAGGUAACGGCUUACCAAGGCAACGAUGCGUAGCCGACCUGAGAGGGUGAUCGGCCACACUGGAACUGAGACACGGUCCAGACUCCUACGGGAGGCAGCAGUAGGGAAUCUUCCGCAAUGGGCGAAAGCCUGACGGAGCAACGCCGCGUGAGUGAAGAAGGUCUUCGGAUCGUAAAACUCUGUUAUUAGGGAAGAACAAAUGUGUAAGUAACUAUGCACGUCUUGACGGUACCUAAUCAGAAAGCCACGGCUAACUACGUG